UGGGGAAUUUUCCGCAAUGGGCGAAAGCCUGACGGAGCAAUGCCGCGUGGAGGUGGAAGGCCUACGGGCGUCAACUUCUUUUCUCGGAGAGAAACAAUGACGGUAUCUGAGGAAUAAGCAUCGGCUAGCUCUGUGCCAG
rnacentral:rRNA from 1 species